rnacentral:rRNA from 1 species
CCUACGGGGGGCAGCAGUGAGGAAUAUUGGUCAAUGGACGAGAGUCUGAACCAGCCAAGUAGCGUGAAGGAUGACUGCCCUAUGGGUUGUAAACUUCUUUUAUAUGGGAAUAAAACGUUCCACGUGUGGGAUUUUGUAUGUACCAUAUGAAUAAGGAUCGGCUAACUCCGUGCCAGCAGCCGCGGUAAUACGAAGGAUCCGAGCGUUAUCCGGAUUUAUUGGGUUUAAAGGGAGCGUAGGUGGAUUGUUAAGUCAGUUGUGAAAGUUUGCGGCUCAACCGUAAAAUUGCAGUUGAAACUGGCAGUCUUGAGUACAGUAGAGGUGGGCGGAAUUCGUGGUGUAGCGGUGAAAUGCUUAGAUAUCACGAAGAACUCCGAUUGCGAAGGCAGUUCACUGGACUGCAACUGACACUGAGGCUCGAAAGUGUGGGUAUCAAACAGGAUUAGAUACCCGUGUAGUC